ensembl:lncRNA
AUGAAGCUCUCCACACUGGAACAUUUGUGCUCCUCAGACAGCGGCUCCCAGGAGCCUCGCUGGCGUCUGCAGGGUUUGAAAGCACUUUCCGACAGCGUCCGGAUGAGCAGCGCUGCAGCGGCCGAUCACUGUCACCAAUUUGUACAUAGCCAUGAGGGCCAUGCAGGGGACAGACACACGGCCGUAAUGAGCCUCACAGGAACAGCCUCCUGUCUGCACACACACACAUACACACACACGGACACACUCACGCAUGCACACACACUCACUCACUCACUCACUCACAUGCACACUCACACGUACACUCACAAACACACACACGCGCACACACACAUGCACUCUCACACACUCACACACAUUCACAUUCACGCCCAUACACACACUCACACACUCACUCACACACGGACACACAUAUGCACAUACACGCACACACACUCACAUUUACACACACAUACACACACACAGACACACACACACACACACUCACUCACACAAGAACACACACACUCACUCACUCACAUACGCACACACACUCACUCACUCACUCACUCACUCACACGCCCACUCACAAACACACACACACACACACACACACACGUGCACUCUCACACACAUUCACACUCACACCCACACACACACUCACACACGGACACACAUACGCACAUACACGCACGCACACUCACAUUUACACACACAUACACACACACUCACACAGACUCACUCACUCACACACAAUCACACUUACUCACACACACACAAACACGCACACACACAUGCACUCACACACACUCACGCCCACACACACACUCACGCCCACACACACACUCACACACACUCACUCACACACACACACGCACUCACACACACUCACGCCCACACACACUCACACACACACUCACGCCCACACACUCACACACACUCACGCCCACACACACACUCGUGCACACACAUGCACUCUCUCACACACACACACACACUGAUGCUUCACAGUGCCUCUGCAGACUGUAUAUGAAUCACAUCCAUAAUGGACAAUGUUCUGAAAUAUAG